AAAGUUUUUUACAGAUCCUCUUUUUGGGAACACGAUGUAAAAGAGAAAACUGAGAAGGGAACAUAGCUGCGAUAACGAUGGAGGCCCUUGUGCAAAAUCAAACAGGAAAUCUUGGAAAGAGGAUCAAGUUGCUGCUGUUACAGAACGAAAGCCGAUAAGUUUGGUCUAAUAUUGAACCGGUGAUAGGCUUCUCAAUACGCGUAUUGAACAGAUCGUUUCAUUCAAAGAUAUCAACUUUGUUGGUUACACAUAGAAGAAUUUUGGGAUUGUUAAUGACUAAAAAGUCCAUGGAAUGGUUUUUUUGUAGAAACACAUUUGAUGCCAAAGGUUUAUGACACGAAGCUUGAAGGUCAAGUCAUCCCUGGUUACAUCCAAAUCAGGUAUGAAGGGUUUUGAAUGUGAACGAAAUCUAUUGGGAUUAUAUGGGCGGGAAAUGAAGAUGUAGAAUUUUGGAGUAAUAACACGUGGCAACCUGUUGUGCUAAUAGUUGGACAAGUGGCAUUUAGUAUAGUGUUUUAUUAAGUAUAUAUAUAUAUAUAUAUAUAUAUAUAUAUAUAUAUAUAUAUAUAUAUAUAUAUAUAUAUAUAUAUAUAUAUAUAUAUAUAUAUAUAUAUAUCACUACUAGAAAACAUACUUUUAAUGACACGCGAACUAUGACAUGCAUUAGAUUUAUUACACAAAAAGUCGGUGUCGUAAAAAAAGUCAUUUCUUAUGAAAUUCAAAGGAUUUACGAUA